rnacentral:rRNA from 1 species
ACGAACGCUGGCGGCGUGCUUAACACAUGCAAGUCGAGCGGUAAGGCUCCUUCGGGAGUACACGAGCGGCGAACGGGUGAGUAACACGUGAGCAAUCUGCCCUUCUCUUCGGAAUAACCAUUGGAAACGAUGGCUAAUGCCGAAUACGACCUUCCUUCGCAUGUUGGAAGGUGGAAAGCUCCGGCGGAGAAGGAUGAGCUCGCGGCCUAUCAGCUUGUUGGCGGGGUAACGGCCCACCAAGGCAACGACGGGUAGCCGGCCUGAGAGGGUGACCGGCCACACUGGGACUGAGACACGGCCCAGACUCCUACGGGAGGCAGCAGUGGGGAAUAUUGGACAAUGGGCGAAAGCCUGAUCCAGCAACGCCGCGUGAGGGAUGACGGCCUUCGGGUUGUAAACCUCUUUCAGCAGGGACGAAGCGAAAGUGACGGUACCUGCAGAAGAAGGACCGGCCAACUACGU